GAUGAACGCUGGCGGCGUGCCUAAUACAUGCAAGUCGAGCGAACGGACGAGAAGCUUGCUUCUCUGAUGUUAGCGGCGGACGGGUGAGUAACACGCGGAUAACCUACCUAUAAGACUGGGAUAACUUCGGGAAACCGGAGCUAAUACCGGAUGAUAUUUUGAACCGCAUGGUUCAAAAGUGAAAGACGGUCUUGCUGUCACUUAUAGAUGGAUCCGCGCUGCAUUAGCUAGUUGGUAAGGUAACGGCUUACCAAGGCAACGAUGCAUAGCCGACCUGAGAGGGUGAUCGGCCACACUGGAACUGAGACACGGUCCAGACUCCUACGGGAGGCAGCAGUAGGGAAUCUUCCGCAAUGGGCGAAAGCCUGACGGAGCAACGCCGCGUGAGUGAUGAAGGUCUUCGGAUCGUAAAACUCUGUUAUUAGGGAAGAACAUAUGUGUAAGUAACUGUGCACAUCUUGACGGUACCUAAUCAGAAAGCCACGGCUAACUACGUGCCAGCAGCCGCGGUAAUACGUAGGUGGCAAGCGUUAUCCGGAAUUAUUGGGCGAAAGCGCGCGUAGGCGGUUUUUUAGUCUGAUGUGAAAGCCCACGGCUCAACCGUGGAGGGUCAUUGGAAACUGGAAAACUUGAGUGCAGAAGAGGAAAGUGGAAUUCCAUGUGUAGCGGUGAAAUGCGCAGAGAUAUGGAGGAACACCAGUGGCGAAGGCGACUUUCUGGUCUGUAACUGACGCUGAUGUGCGAAAGCGUGGGGAUCAAACAGGAUUAGAUACCCUGGUAGUCCACGCCGUAAACGAUGAGUGCUAAGUGUUAGGGGGUUUCCGCCCCUUAGUGCUGCAGCUAACGCAUUAAGCACUCCGCCUGGGGAGUACGACCGCAAGGUUGAAACUCAAAGGAAUUGACGGGGACCCGCACAAGCGGUGGAGCAUGUGGUUUAAUUCGAAGCAACGCGAAGAACCUUACCAAAUCUUGACAUCCUUUGACAACUCUAGAGAUAGAGCCUUCCCCUUCGGGGGACAAAGUGACAGGUGGUGCAUGGUUGUCGUCAGCUCGUGUCGUGAGAUGUUGGGUUAAGUCCCGCAGCGAGCGCAACCCUUAAGCUUAGUUGCCAUCAUUAAGUUGGGCACUCUAAGUUGACUGCCGGUGACAAACCGGAGGAAGGUGGGGAUGACGUCAAAUCAUCAUGCCCCUUAUGAUUUGGGCUACACACGUGCUACAAUGGACAAUACAAAGGGCAGCGAAACCGCGAGGUCAAGCAAAUCCCAUAAAGUUGUUCUCAGUUCGGAUUGUAGUCUGCAACUCGACUACAUGAAGCUGGAAUCGCUAGUAAUCGUAGAUCAGCAUGCUACGGUGAAUACGUUCCCGGGUCU
rnacentral:rRNA from 1 species